GGGGAAUAUUGGACAAUGGGGGCAACCCUGAUCCAGCAAUGCCGCGUGUGUGAAGAGGGUUUUCGGAUUGUAAAGCACUUUCGACGAGGACGAUGAUGACGGUACCCGUAGAAGAAGCCCCGGCUAACUUCGUGCCAGCAGCCGCGGUAAUACGAAGGGGGCUAGCGUUGCUCGGAAUGACUGGGCGUAAAGGGCGUGUAGGCGGUUUGUACAGUCAGAUGUGAAAUCCCCGGGCCUUAACCUGGGAGCUGCAUUUGAUACGUGCAGACUAGAGUGUGAGAGAGGGUUGUGGAAUUCCCAGUGUAGAGGUGAAAUUCGUAGAUAUUGGGAAGAACACCGGUGGCGAAGGCGGCAACCUGGCUCAUAACUGACGCUGAGGCGCGAAAAGCGUGGGGAGCAAACAGGAUUAGAUACCCUGGUAGUCCACGCCUGUAAACGAUGUGUGCUAGAUGUUGGGGU
rnacentral:rRNA from 1 species